rnacentral:rRNA from 1 species
CAGUCGCCACGGUAAUACAGAGGCCUCAAGCGUUGUUCGGAUUCAUUGGGCGUAAAGGGUGCGUAGGCGGUACCGUAAGUCGGAUGUGAAAUCUUGGGGCUCAACCUCAAAACUGCAUUCGAUACUGCGGGGCUAGAGGACUGGAGAGGAGAGUGGAAUUCACGGUGUAGCAGUGAAAUGCGUAGAUAUCGUGAGGAAGACCAGCGGCGAAGGCGGCUCUCUGGACAGUUCCUGACGCUGAUGCACGAAGGCCAGGGAAGCAAACGGGAUUAGAUACCCGGGUAGUCCCUGUCUCUUAUAC